rnacentral:rRNA from 1 species
AACGAACGCUGGCGGCGCGCCUAAUACAUGCAAGUCGAGCGAGAAGACGUAGCAAUACGUUUGUAAAGCGGCGAACGGGUGAGGAAUACAUGGGUAACCUACCCUCGAGUGGGGAAUAACUAGCCGAAAGGUUAGCUAAUACCGCGUACGCUCCUUGGACUUCGGUUCAGGGAGGAAAGCGAUACCGUGGGUAUCGCGCUCUUGGAUGGGCUCAUGUCCUAUCAGCUUGUUGGUGAGGAACGGCUCACCAAGGCUUCGACGGGUAGCUGGUCUGAGAGGACGAUCAGCCACACUGGCACUGCGACACGGGCCAGACUCCUACGGGAGCAGCAGUAAGGAAUAUUGCGCAAUGGGCGAAAGCCUGACGC